rnacentral:rRNA from 1 species
UACAGAGGGGGCAAGCGUUGUUCGGAAUUACUGGGCGUAAAGGGCGCGUAGGCGCCUUCUAAGUCGAACGUGAAAUCCCCGGGCUCAACCCGGGAACUGCGUCCGAUACUGGAAGGCUUGAAUCCGGGAGAGGGAUGCGGAAUUCCAGGUGUAGCGGUGAAAUGCGUAGAUAUCUGGAGGAACACCGGUGGCGAAGGCGGCAUCCUGGACCGGCAUUGACGCUGAGGCGCGAAAGCGUGGGGAGCAAACAGGG